CAACUUAGAAAAUGAAAGAUCUAACUGAGGUUACUUUUUGUAUUUUGAUUUUAUCCGUAAAUUAAACAAAACAUCUAUUCUUAGUAUUAAUACCAAUCAGUAAAUGAUGCUCAAUAAAAAUCAGAUCAAAAACAAAUCAGUUAGAAAUACUUUUGGUUAUUUUAUUAAUCAUCAUCAGCUUAUAAUAUUAAAAACAGAACAAUAGAACAGUCCAGCAGAUAAACAGCAUACCAUACUGUUCUAUGAGAAUGGAGGGGAUAUUCAAUGGCCUGUUCAUUCCACAGCCUGUCUGUAUGUUAUUACUUCUUGUAGGAUUAAUUAAAGGCAAAAGUUUCCCCCACAAAUAUCAAACACUAUUGCAACUGAAGCAAGUCAUCACCCGAGAGAUUGUUGCUAUUCCCCAAGGAAUGAUGUGCAGGGCAUGUCUGAACUUAUCUCAAAGACUAUGAGUGUGUUCAAGAAAUGGUGGUUGCCAUCUUAAAGAUGUUCUCUUCAAGACCUGAGACUUUGGUGGUCAUGAUUGAUGUUGCAUACAGCCAGAAGUGCUAUUUUCAGUGACAAAUAUUCAUUGAAAAUAUACUUCUGGCCUUGUCUUUGUCACUGAAAAUAUACUUCUGUGAAUCAUCUUUUUCUGAAUUGUAGUGAAAAUGAUGAUGUACUGAAAAUCCAAUUGUUUGUCAGUAAAUGGGAUUCUUUCCUUAAUCAGUAGGUAUAUGUUUCAUUUCUCUCUGUUACUUAAUUUCUCCAGGAUAGAGGUUUAAUAAUGUCACCAUUAUUAAAUCUCUAUCCCAGUAUUUAUGCCUCAUCCUGAAGAAUAACAGAAAGAAAAAAUUUUCAAAUGUUUUGUUUUUGAAAAUAUGAUAUGGACCCCAAAGACAAC
rnacentral:lncRNA from 1 species